rnacentral:rRNA from 1 species
UACGGGGGGGGUAAGCGUUGUUCGGAAUUACUGGGCGUAAAGGGCUCGUAGGCGGCCAACUAAGUCGGACGUGAAAUCCCUCAGCUUAACUGGGGAACUGCGUCCGAUACUGGAUGGCUUGAGUUUGGGAGAGGGAUGCGGAAUUCCAGGUGUAGCGGUGAAAUGCGUAGAUAUCUGGAGGAACACCGGUGGCGAAGUCGGCAUCCUGGACCAACACUGACACUGAGGAGCGAAAGCCAGGGGAGCAAACGGG